ACUACGCCCGCGCUGCUCAGCGCUACCGCUUCCCCGCAACUGUGCGGGGUGGGAGCCGGUGCCCGGUCCGACCGGCUUGGGCGGCGCGCCUUCACCCGGCGCCAGGUCCGGACCCCUCCCUAGUAGCUUCGCGGCCUCCCUGCCUCCUGUGCGCGGCCUGGCUCGGAGAGGUCGGGUGGGCAGGCUUUCCCGACUGCAGGCGAGGCAGUGCGCGGCUCACCCCAGUCCCCGACCCACGUGAAGCGUACAGAGGGCAUUUUAUUAACCGGGAAGGACGGUGCGGAAGAGCCAGCAGGACGCCUCUUCACCCCGCGUAGGCAGUGUCGUCGUUGCUGUCACUAAAGGCGGAGGAAGAGAGCUCUUCGCGGGGCGUGCAGACCGGGCACCGCUGCCGCAUGUCGUCCCAGCACGACCAGCAGUACACGGCCUCGCAGUCCAGCGUCCGGCACACGUAGGACUCGGGCGUCUCGGGUGCCUGGCACACCACGCAGCGCCGGCGCAGCCAGCGGCGCAGGAGCGGGCAGCCGCGGUGCAGGAUAUCCGCCAGCGGGUGGCGCUGUUGGGAGGUGGGCGUUAGCGCCAGCCCGGGAGCGAGGCGGGAAAGAAGGGGAACUGGACAGCGUUUCCUGUCUGAAGUCGCCAGGCCUGACAAUUCCCGCGUGUUGGAGGAGGCUGGGUUGGACAAAGGAAACCCCUGGAGGGCGAGGGUGCCUCCCUCCCCAACUCUGUGAUGGAGAAUGGGAGGAUGCACCCUCCAGGCUCUCUCCAAGCGGAUAUCAGCCACAGCUCUCAUUUGCACUUUCCUGCAAAUCAUCUUAUUUGGUUCUCACAGUGAGGCUAAGAAGUGAGCAGGCCAGAUCGACUAUCACUGUUGCUAUCCCCACUUUACAGUUGAGAAAGGUGAGAAAACUGAUGCUUGGAGAUGUGAUCACUGCCCAGGGUCACCCAAUGAUAACAUGCAUGCAUAUGGAACUUGCUGCAUGCUAGCACCAUGAGUCCGCUCCCCAUGCCGUCCUCACCACAUUGCUCAUUUCUGAGGCCUGGAUGGUGGGCUUGCAAGGGAAGAUGACGGUUUUCUCCUCAGCUUUGCGGAGUGGCAGCAGAGUCCGUUUGCCCUGGAAAACAAAUGUCCACACAGUUAGGAAGCCCAAGGGCUCUCUGCCCUUUCCUCUCUGCCUUCCUGGAGCAUGAACCCACACAGGGCACACAGCAGCAAGGCAUCCCCAGGCAGUGCCGUGCCCACUCACCAGCUUCUUCCUGCGGUCAUCGAUCUGGCAGAAGUUCUCCUCAUCUAUCCCCAAACAUGGGCUUCCUUGAGGCACAGUCAUUCAACCAACCAGCCAGCAUUCAUUGAGCACCAUCUAUGUCCUGGGCACUGCUAGGGGAUGGUGAUAACAGGGAGAAGACUCUGUCCCUGCCUUCCAAUUGUGUAGAGGAAGACAUCCCCCUACAUGAUGGGUGAGACAUAGCAGAAGUGAGUAGGGGAUGAGGUGGGGGCUCAGAGGAGGGCAUGGUCAGCCUGUCUGGGAGGGAGUUGCAUGUGUGCAUCUGAGGUAGGGACAGGCAUGCAUCUUGCAGGUUGAAUAUCGAGCAGAGUCACAGAGAGGGGGAAACUCCUUGAGGUUUCAGGAAUCACCUAAUCCACUGUGACUCACAAAUUCCUGCCUCUUGGCUUUGCCUGCAGCAUAUUUCCUGGAAGUGUGCUGGGGCAAAACUCAUCCCAGACCACCAUCUCCGUCCUCCCCAAUACACCCUGGCCCUCCCUGGCUACCCUUGAGCACGGUGCACGUGUGCAUGGGUGCAUGCCUGCAUAUAUAGCUAUCCCCCAUGUAUUUCCCAAAGCCCUACAUAAUGCUUCAGUUUGCUAAGGAAAAAAUGUUAAUUACUGCAAAUGUGUUUAAAACUGUAAAAGUACAUUAAACAAACUCUGUAAAGUGUGAAA